UACGUAGGGCGCGAGCGUUGUCCGGAUUUAUUGGGCGUAAAGAGCUCGUAGGCGGCUCGUUGCGUCGGCUGUGAAAACCCGCAGCUCAACUGUGGGCUUGCAGCCGAUACGGGCGGGCUGGGAUUCGGUAGGGGAGACUGGAAUUCCUGGUGUAGCGGUGAAAUGCGCAGAUAUCAGGAGGAACACCGGUAGCGAAGGCGGGUCUCUGGGCCGAUAUCGACGCUGAGGAGCGAAAGCGUGGGGAGCGAACAGG
rnacentral:rRNA from 1 species